rnacentral:rRNA from 1 species
GACGAACGCUGGCGGCGUGCUUAACACAUGCAAGUCGAACGGUGAAGCGCCUUCCUUUUUGGUGGGUGUGGAUGAGUGGCGAACGGGUGAGUAACACGUGAGUAACCUGCCCCCUUCUUCUGGAUAACCGCAUGAAAGUGUGGCUAAUACGGGAUAUUCUGGGUCUGUCGCAUGAUGGGUUUGGGAAAGAUAUUGUUUCGGUGGGGGAUGGGCUCGCGGCCUAUCAGCUUGUUGGUGGGGUGAUGGCCUACCAAGGCGGUGACGGGUAGCCGGCCUGAGAGGGUGGACGGUCACACUGGGACUGAGACACGGCCCAGACUCCUACGGGAGGCAGCAGUGGGGAAUAUUGCACAAUGGGCGCAAGCCUGAUGCAGCGACGCCGCGUGAGGGAUGGAGGCCUUCGGGUUGUGAACCUCUUUCGCCAGUGAAGCAGGCCUGCCUCGUUUGUGGGUGGGUUGACGGUAGCUGGAUAAGAAGCGCCGGCUAACUACGUG